AAUGUUUUUUUUAAAAGUACAUUCCAUGUGAUUUCGUUCAACUUCGAAAACGCUAUUUAGGAACUAAUUUGUUCCUCUCAUUUCUUAGCUGUCCUACUACAAUGGGGAGAUUACCACAUAGGAGCAUCGUUACAUACCAAUUUCCUCGCAGCACCAUGGUGUGCGUGGAACGUGACGUCACGCAGUGUCGUCAGCUAAAACUUUUCAUGGAUUACGUGAUAACCAAAUCUUCUUCCUGCAAUAUUGAACAUUUUGUUUGUUGUUGUUUUAUGGAACUGUCUUCGUCCAACCUUCUACCCCAUCACAAUUAUUAGCGUGUAUAUUCGUUUACUAUAAAAUAUGUAGACCCAACUUGUGUACCCUGGGAGUUACAUCAAAUUGGCUAACGCGAUUCGAUCGUUAUCUCGUGCGCGUCGGUGCCUGCUUAUUUCUUCACGUCCGGUUUCCGGAAUCUAAUUUACCCAAACCAACUCUGUCUACUUUCUGUGUAUAAUUUGAAUUAUGUCAUGUUUCAAUUAUUUUUCUUAUUACGCAGAAAUGCAACAUCGUCAUCCCCUAUCUACCUGCUAUAUAUUUCUGUUUGCUCAGUCUCUGUAUUAUUUUUUACAGCAUUUGAUAUUCUUAUCUUCUGUGCUCUCAUAACCCAGGUAAAUUGAGGUGAAGAAUACAGGAAUGUAUUGAUUUGUUCUAUA